rnacentral:rRNA from 1 species
UACAGAGGUCUCAACCGUUGUUCGGAUUCAUUGGCGUAAGGGUAGGCGUAGGCGGUCGCGUAAGUCAGGUGUGAAAUCUCAGGGCUCAACCCUGAAACUGCACUUGAUACUGCGUGGCUCGGGUACUGGAGAGGAGACUGGAAUUUACGGUGUAGCAGUGAAAUGCGUAGAUAUCGUAAGGAAGACCAGUGGCGAAGGCGAGUCUCUGGACAGUUACCGACGCUGAGGCACGAAGGUCAGGGGAGCAAACGGG